rnacentral:rRNA from 1 species
CACGUAGGGUGCGAGCGUUGUCCGGAAUUAUUGGGCGUAAAGAGCUCGUAGGCGGUGUGUCGCGUCGGCCGUGAAAACUUGGGGCUUAACUCUGAGCGUGCGGUCGAUACGGGCAUCACUUGAGUUCGGCAGGGGAGACUGGAAUUCCUGGUGUAGCGGUGAAAUGCGCAGAUAUCAGGAGGAACACCGAUGGCGAAGGCAGGUCUCUGGGCAUUAACUGACGCUGAGGAGCGAAAGCAUGGGGAGCGAACAGG